rnacentral:misc_RNA from 1 species
GAUGAAGAACGCAGUGAAAUGCGAUAAGUAAUGUGAAUUGCAGAAUUCAGUGAAUCAUCGAAUCUUUGAACGCACAUUGCGCCCCUUGGUAUUCCGGGGGGCAUGCCUGUUCGAGCGCCAUUUCAACCCUCAAGCUUCUGCUUGGUCUUGGGCCGUGCCGGCAACGGCUGGCCUUAAAACUAGUGGCGGUGCCAUCGAGCUCUACGCGUAGUAAUUCUAUCUCGCGUCUGGGCUUCGGUGGACGCUGGCCAGCAACCCCCAAUUUUCUAUGGUUGACCUCGGAUCAGGUAGGGAUACCCGCUGAACUUAAGCAUAUCAUAAGCGGAGGA